rnacentral:misc_RNA from 1 species
UGGAGAGGAGCAAAUCUGAAGCCAGGGGGAAACCCAAGUGUGGAGAAAAGCUUUUUGUGCAUCGUCAGCAGUUGAGAGAUUAGAUGCCUAAAGGAAUGGCAUCGAUAACGUCUCCUAGAGGUACCCAUGUAGACUCGAUGACCCAAGUGGCUUCUAGCUCUACGACAUGGAAGAAAGUUGCUGACUAACCCUAACUCAUGCACAUAAAGCUAGCCAUAGAUGAGAAGUCCCACCAUCGCUAAGCUUGAGGAACUCAAGAGUCCUCACAAGUGCUAAGAAAACCCUCUCCAUUUUA